GUAGCAUUAGCAUUGUGAGUAAACGUUAGCUUCAUGCCCCGAUAGCUGAAUCUGAGCAGAAAAGACCGACACCAGUGGCUCUAACUUCUUGAAAGCCGUUCGUUUGUGUGGUGUGGAUGAAAAAGAAGAUAAAGAUGUCAGCAGACAAAAGGAGAAAGACUCCAUCGUGGACGAAGCAUCAGAAGAUGAAAGUUGAAUCCAGCUGAAAUGGGAUUUCUGGCUGAGUAUGUUGCUGUGAUGAAACCUAUUGCCAUGGCGCUCAACAUUCUUCAAGGGGAAUCAUCUGUGCACAUGGGCUUCCUCCUGCCAACUCUACACCAGUUGCGAGACAAGCUGAAGAAGCUGGUAUCAUCUUGCAAAGUGUGUGCACCUCUCAUUGAUGCCCUGCAGGAAGGGAUUCAGAAAUGAUUUGCUGAGAUAAUGAAAGAACCUGAGCUCAUAAAUUCAGACCAAACUGGACUACAGAUGAGAACAUCUUAAAAUCUGCCUAGACUACAUCAAGGAACACUUGGACACUGAUGCUGAUGAUGACAACGGCACAAACAGCAGCCUGUCUGAUGAGGAAGACUUCUUUGGAUCCAUAAAGACC